GUCUAUUUGUGGAUAUAAAUAGUCUAGUCUGCCCACUGAUAAAAUAAGUUUAAAGGGCCGCGGUAUUUUGACCGUGCAAAGGUAGCAUAAUCACUAGUUUUUUAAUUGGAAUCUCGUAUGAAUGGCUGGACAAAAGAAAGUCUGUCUCUAUAAUAAUUAUUGAAUUUAACUUUUAAGUGAAAAGGCUUAAAUGAUUUGAAAAGACGAUAAGACCCUAUAAAGCUUGAUAUAAGUUGUAUAUUAUUAUAGAAUUUUAUAAUUUAUAAAGAUAUAUUGUACAGUUUUUAUUUUAUUGGGGCGAUAGAGGUAGAAUUUUUAAUAACUGCUUAGAUUUUAUGACAGUAUAAGUGAUUAGUUUGUAAAAGAUCCUAAAUAAAGAUUAAAAGGUUAAGUUACUUUAGGGAUAACAGCGUAAUUCUUUUUGAGAGUUCUUAUCGAAAGAAGAGUUUGCGACCUCGAUGUUGAAUUAAAAGUUCUUUACAAUUGUAGGAGUUGUAAAAGAAGGUCUGUUCGACCUUUAAAUUUUU
rnacentral:rRNA from 1 species